AUUGAACGCUGGCGGCAGGUCUAACACAUGCAUGUCGAGCGGAGCGGCGGACGGGUGAGUAAUGCCUAGGCAUCUGCCUGGUAGUGGGGGAUAACGUCCGGAAACGGGCGCUAAUACCGCAUAAUAUCAGAUGAGCCUAGGUCGGCUUAGCUAGUUGGUGGGGUAAAGGCCUACCAAGGCGACGAUCCGUAACUGGGCUGAGAGUAUGAUCAUUCAGAGUGGAACUGAGACACGGUCAAGAAUACUACGAGAGAGAGCAGUGGGGAAUAUUGGACAAGGGGUGAAAGCCUGAUCCAGCCAUGCAGCGGGUGUUAAGAAGGUCUUCGGAUUGUAAAGCACUGUAAGUUGGGAGGCGUAAGCAACAGAAUAAGCACCGGCUAACAUCGUGCCAGCAGCCGCGGUAAUUC
rnacentral:rRNA from 1 species